AUCAGCGAUGCUCACAGUGUUUGUGGAGUCCUAGCCCAGACGUCAGACUCGUAGCCUGAAGGCAACAUCCAGAUCCGCUCUCUGUGUGAGGUCCUCCCAUCGUACCCACGGUCCCAGAGCUUGGAAGGACCUUCUACAGAUGAGUCAAUAUUGACAGAAUACUUGCUCAGUUUAUGGGGACCUGGAACCCUCCGGAAUUCUCCUCUGCAAAGGGAUGGUACUUUGACCCCUACUGUGUGGGAGCACUGGGGCAGAGGAAGAGGAAAUAAGCAAGUUUUUCUGCAUGUUAGUAACACCCUGGGAUUCAUUAAACUGCACAGUUUUAAGGCCAGGAGUGCCAGCCUUCCUCGUCAAAGGUGGCCUUGAACCAUUGGUACUUUGCCAGCCCCUCUGAAGCACUGGGAUACAGCAUGGGUCACCAAACCUGGCAAAUGGAAACUAAACUGAACACAUCUGUGGCACUAGUGCCUAGUUCGAGAAAGACUUCGAAGCUUGAUUAACUUCUGAAGGAUAAUGCGCAGGACCACAUUUAAAACCGAGGAUGUGAUUCUUAGAGCAACCUCCCCCAAAGCUAUUCAAUCCAUUAAAAAAUGUCUUGUACAUUAAUAUUAUAACGAACCACGUCUUAGGUAACUGGGUGCUUUAGUACUCUUUUAUAAAUAAUUUGUUGAUCAUAUAUCUUGUGAAAGAAAAAGCAAGGAAUGAAAUAAAUACACAAUCAGACUCCAAACAUGUGUCCAUUUAAAAUGUAGAGUUUAAGCAGGAGAGAAAAUUUUCAUAAGUAAUUUUGAGACCAUUUGAAGGUGUGCAUUUUAAUCUUGUUAAUGUCAAAAGCAGGUUUCCCGAAUUUUACUCUCACGUUAGCGUUCUUGCAAUCCACCUAAAGAACGUUAUUAAAAUGCAGGGCCUGGUUCUUCCUAGGUUAGAGGCUUGACAUCUGUAUUUGCUUAUUCUUAGUGCUGAUGUUGCCAGUAGAGCUAUUCUUUCAAAGAACACAGCAUAAAUGUUUUCUUGAAUACAGGUGUCACCUCAUAUUUACCCUUCUCUUUUUACAUCUUUAAAUAAUUUCCUGGACAUGUUUCUUUACCUGUGAAUUAUCUGACUCCUCUGUCAGUCGUGUGUAUUUCAUCAAAAUCAUUUCCUGGCCCAUUGUCUUCCCAGUAGUGGAAGCAUUAAAUUGGCAUUGUUUUGUUAUAUAAUAACUCCCAACACAUGCCACUUCCUGUAGGCACUUCAGACGCCUUCUUAGAAUGCCCACCCUACUUUUUCAGUUGAGGCAAGUGUACUAAAGUGUAGCACUGAUGUCAUGAGCCACUGAAUGUCCAAAGGUUGCAUGAGUGUGUGUGUGUGUGUGUGUGUGUGUGUGUGUGUGUAUCUGUUAUUUAUAUCAGCUUAAAAACAAAUAAAGCCUAGAGCUACCUAGUGCAGGCACACUCUAACACUGGACAUGAUCAAAUGGAUUUUCUGAUGAGUUUUGUGGAAACUUCAAAUACACCCCAUUGUUAAGCUUUCGUCAAUUUGAAAUCUGUUCAUUUUGUGAAAGUUCUGCAAGACUGUGGUAAAAUAAUUCCAAGAAUAAAAAGAUUUCAUGUGUGGAACAAGAUGUCAAUGCUCACAUUAAAGGUUAUAAAGCAAUAAUAGGACUAUUACAGAUGCAAUUAUUACCAGAGAGAAGAUCAAUACCUUUGAAUUAAUGGCCAGAUUGUCUAAUAAAAUACAAAUUUAUUUUAUGUAAACUAUUGAUUCAAAGAACUUCAUAAU